rnacentral:rRNA from 1 species
AACGAACGCUGGCGGCAGGCCUAACACAUGCAAGUCGAGCGAACCCUUCGGGGUUAGCGGCGGACGGGUUAGUAACGCGUGGGAAUAUACCCUUUGGUACGGAAUAGCCUCGGGAAACUGAGAGUAAUACCGUAUGUGCCCUUCGGGGGAAAGAUUUAUCGCCAAAGGAUUAGCCCGCGUUGGAUUAGAUAGUUGGUGGGGUAAUGGCCUACCAAGUCUACGAUCCAUAGCUGGUUUGAGAGGAUGAUCAGCAACACUGGGACUGAGACACGGCCCAGACUCCUACGGGAGGCAGCAGUGGGGAAUCUUAGACAAUGGGCGCAAGCUUGAUCUAGCCAUGCCGCGUGAGCGAUGAAGGCCUUAGGGUUGUAAAGCUCAUUCAGUGGGGAAGAUAAUGACUGUACCCACAGAAGAAGCCCCGGCUAACUCCGUG